CCCAGUGGCUCCUCCAGUGAGGCAGGCAGCGGCUCGGCUCUCAGACUGAGGCAGACAAAGGCAAGGGGAGAGACGGCGUGCCGCUAUCCUGCAGCAUCGACACCCACUCCCUUCACUCCGCAAGCAGCGACGCAGACUCCCCGGGGCUAAUCACCACCACCACCACACAUCUGUCACAAACCAUCACAAGUGUCAGCCGUCAUGGAGCUAGACUUUGGACAUUUUGAUGAGCGAGACAAGGCAUCCCGUACUCCACGCGGUGGCCGCAUGAACGGACUUCCCAGCCCCACCCACAGUGCCCACUGCAGCUUCUACCGCACGCGCACUCUUCAGGCCCUCACCAAUGAGAAGAAGGCCAAAAAGGUGCGCUUCUACCGCAAUGGAGACCGCUACUUCAAGGGCAUUGUGUAUGCCGUGGCUGUCGACCGUUUUCGCACCUUUGAUGCUCUCCUGGCUGACCUCACACGCUCGCUGUCUGACCACAUCAACUUGCCGCAGGGUGUCCGCUUCAUCUUCACUAUUGAUGGCUCACGCAAGAUCGCGUCCAUGGAUGAGCUAGAGGAAGGGGAAAGCUACGUCUGUGCAUCAGAGAACUACUACAAGAAGGUGGACUACACGAAGAACGUCAACCCCAACUGGUCCGUGAAUGUAAAGGCCUCGGCCAGCCAGAAGAACAUGCAGUCCCUGGCUGCCAAGGCUGCAGGCGAAGCCAAAGAGAGCAAAGACUUUGUUCGGCCCAAACUGGUGACGGUGAUGCGCAGCGGCGUGAAGCCACGCAAGGCUGUGCGCGUCCUGCUCAAUAAGAAGACCGCACACUCCUUUGAGCAGGUGCUCACCGACAUAACAGAGGCCAUCAAACUUGAAAGCGGAGUGGUCAAGAGGAUCUACACACUGGAUGGAAAGCAGGUGACCUGCCUUCAGGAUUUUUUUGGCGAUGACGACGUCUUCAUCGCAUGUGGACCAGAGAAAUUCCGCUAUGCCCAGGACGACUUCUCUCUGGAUGAGAACGAAUGCAGGGUGAUGAAGGGACCCAAGGCUCAGCGGGGCUCGGCCAAGAGUCCCGGUCCGAUCAGGCGCAGCAAGUCUCCUGCUGAAUCGAGUGAGCCCAUUAUUAUCUGACCCGCUCUGUAGCUCUGCCUGUUUGAACUGCAGCAGAAACGGGCUUCAGCUAGCUCCAUACAUCCAAAAAAAAGGUGGUGGGGAAGUAAAACUGGGCCAGUGUAAUACUAGGAAUGUCAGUGAACCCUUUAUAUUGUGUAAAUACAUAUAGAUAAAUUAAAUUGACAAUAAGGGAUGGAAAAUAAGGGAAGGAUAGUGUAGUGAUUUAAAGAAUCUGUCUUUUGGUUAGAAGGCCUGUAUUCAAGGCCCUUCUUACCUUUCUCCGGAUCAGGGCAAGCAAAUUUGUCCCUCUGAGGUCAGUAACAUACACACACUUUGCAUUUUGCACAACUCCAUCAGGAAGUGGUCAUGUUUUAUUAUGCAAAUGACUUAGUUAAAUUCCUAGCAUUGCACUGGCUGCCAUAAUCUCCCCUCCAAGCAGAAUUUAUUUAACUAUAUUAUGGGUAUGUGGGCAUUGUUUCAUAUACUAGCAUGAUGUGUGUUUUUUUGUUCUUUUUUUUUCUUUUUGUUUUUCUCAUUUUGUUUUCUGUAAUCCUCAAUUCACUGUCUGGAAUUUGACUGAGGGCAGGGGUGGGAGGUAAAAGCUGGCUGUUCUCUUUGUUGUCGUCUGGGCCCACAGAGCUGGAGUCAGACUGUUUACUGGGGUCCAGAGGACAGCAGCUCCUUAAUCUCAGCACAACACCUCAUAAAAAACCCCCACUAAUACACCAGAAUGGGGACAGUGAAAAUCCAGCCUUUGUUUGAUAAUCUGAUGAGAUUAAGAAUUUUAGAAUGAUACUAGUGCAGAUGCUUUCAUUUAUCACUGAAAAAAUAAGAAAAGUAAACAAAGGUGGUGGAUGGUUGUAAACAGCUCAGCUUUUUGUCUAGAUAUUAAAAGGAAAUGUUAAAUAAAAUUUUUAAAAUUCCAAAUAUAAUGGAACAUAAUAGAAGGGACACACUUUUUUGACCCCUCUUAUGUUACUAUUAGAUGUACAUACCACUGGAAAACAAUGCCACACAUCUUACUUAUUUAAUUCUUCAGUAUUCAUAGUUUAUGUGACGGUGCCACCGGUUGCCUUCCAUCUUUGGCUGAGGAGCUGAGGCCACAAGCUCUGACAGCUGUGCUGUGCUGUGACCUCCGACACAUAAAAAAAGACAGCAAUACAAGCUUGACAUGCACCAUAAAACCUGGCAUGCAUCUGGUUCCUUUAACUGAAACUUUAAGAUUUUUUUGGGACAUUAAUUUGUGUUUUGGGGGGAUUUUAACUCAUUUUUACAGGCAUUUUAAAUAUCAUGUGGCCAUUUAAUAUUAAGUGUGGUCAUAUCUUGGCUAUAUAUAUAACAAAUCUAAUUAUCACAUGGCAGUUUGCCUGAUUAAGACCUUCCUGUUCUAUAUGCUGCAGAGUAAAUACUGCAGGAGCUGAUAUGAAGUAUGCGGACAUUGUUUUCCUUUCAGUAAUUUGUGGUUGUGUCCUGCACCUGUACUCAACUUUGAUUGGAUGUUCAUACUAUUACACAUCUUCUCCUUGAACAGCACUUCCAUGAACUAUGAAUACUGGGAAAUGAAAUACCUCAGAAUGGUAUGCUAUUAUCAUUGUUGAAGGUACGGUGCGUCAGUUUUCAGGAAAUAACUUGAGAAAGGUUUUGUAGGAAAUGGAUGAUUCAGUGGUCAGACUGCCACAGGGGCAGGUCUGAUUUAUACCCUGCAAGUGUAGUGACUCUGUCUCACAGGAGUGUGAUAGUCACAAAAUUAAAUGUAUAGAUUUGUGUCCAUGGACAUGAAUUAUCCAUUUUUUUCAUGUAUAUGGAUACGAAUUAAAGUCAUGUCAAUGAACACGAAUUUGUCUUGGUGGUAUAUGGUCACAAAUUUAAUUCAUGUCUAUGAACCAGAGUUUUCUUUUACCAGAAGUGAAUAAAACUACUUCCGGAAGAGGCUACAGUCAUACAGUAGAUGUAGUCAACAAAACUGUAGAUUCAGGUGGGGAAAGGUUAGGUUUAGGCACCAAAAACCACCUGGUUAAGGUUAGGAAAAGGUUGGGUUUAGGCACCAAAAACCACUUGGUUAAGAUUAGGAAAAGGUUGGGUUUAGGCACCAAAAACCACCUGGUUAAGGUUAAGAAAAGGUUGAGUUUAGGCACCAAAACCAGAGAAUGGACACGGUCUCACUCUAUGAAAAUGAACACUGGUUUUGAACACUGAGUUUGUGGGUCUUUACACUCCCUCACAAUAUGUUGCACAGGCACGAAAUACAUUUCCAAUCAAAAUACAUCACUUUUAACGUCAUGCUGACUGUCACAAAAAAAAAAAAUGGACAAUUCGUGUGUUCAUGGACAUAAAUCUAUAGAUUAAAUUUCACGGCUAUACCACAAACUUCCAUGAGGCCGGGCUGGGCUGAAUCAUAGCCUGGAGGGACGACGCUCUCGCUCCGUGUCCCACCAUCCCGACAUGUUAGUCCACAGUGACGGUACAUUUCACGCCGCUCCACAUGGUAGCUGGUCGGUCCAUUGUCUUCUCAGGCCCUGCUGGCUCGGUCAGCGCUCGUUAAUAUUUCAGUGUUCACUGAUGGGGGAUGGCCUGUCCUUGAAGACAGCAGAUGGACAGCCCAAGAGGCUGGUAAGGCAGUAAUAUGCCAAACAUUAACCCCCCAUGUGGAGCCUAGAGGUCAGUGGGGUGAUAAUGGCUGCAGAGGAGUAAAGGCUAAUUAGUUAAUUUAUGUGGCAUUGGUCUGUGUGGUUUGGGGUUGCAGUGAGUAUAGAUAGUGGUGGUGAGAUAUGUAACUAAACUGUGUUCCCCUUUCAUCAUCAACUUUGUAAUCCGAAUCUUUAACACCAGCACAAAAUAGAAGAGCUCCAUUUCUGUAUUCAUAUUUGGUCCUGUUUUUGUUUUAUUCUUUUUUUUUUUUUAAUGGCAGGCUACUGCACUUUCUGAAAAGACAUCCUCUAAGGUCACUUAUUGUUUGACAAAGACAGGUCUCUGUUACUGUUGUUUUUGUGUGAGGCUGAAGUUUUUAUUCUUUUUCGGGUAUUUUAUUUUUUAUUUCCUCAUCUUAAUUUAUAAAAUAAAAGCCAUAUAUUCAUCCUUUGA